CCUACGGGAGGCAGCAGUGAGGAAUAUUGGUCAAUGGACGAGAGUCUGAACCAGCCAAGUAGCGUGAAGGAUGACUGCCCUAUGGGUUGUAAACUUCUUUUAUAUGGGAAUAAAAUGUUCCACGUGUGGGAUUUUGUAUGUACCAUAUGAAUACGGAUCGGCUAACUCCGUGCCAGCCGCCGCGGUACUACGGAGGAUCCGAGCGUUAUCCGGAUUUAUUGGGUUUAAAGGGGGCGUAGGUGGAUUGUUAAGUCAGUUGUGAAAGUUUGCGGCUCAACCGUAAAAUUGCAGUUGAAACUGGCAGUCUUGAGUACAGUAGAGGUGGGCGGAAUUCGUGGUGUAGCGGUGAAAUGCUUAGAUAUCACGAAGAACUCCGAUUGCGAAGGCAGCUCACUGGACUGCAACUGACACUGAGGCUCGAAAGUGUGGGUAUCAAACAGGAUUAGAUACCCCAGUAGUC
rnacentral:rRNA from 1 species